rnacentral:rRNA from 1 species
GACGAACGCUGGCGGCGUGCUUAACACAUGCAAGUCGAACGGUGAAGCGCCUUCCUUUUUGGUGGGUGUGGAUGAGUGGCGAACGGGUGAGUAAUACGUGAGUAACCUGCCCCCUUCUUCUGGAUAACCGCAUGAAAGUGUGGCUAAUACGGGAUAUUCUGGGUCUGUCGCAUGAUGGGUCUGGGAAAGAUAUUGUUUCGGUGGGGGAUGGGCUCGCGGCCUAUCAGCUUGUUGGUGGGGUGAUGGCCUACCAAGGCGAUGACGGGUAGCCGGCCUGAGAGGGUGGACGGUCACACUGGGACUGAGACACGGCCCAGACUCCUACGGGAGGCAGCAGUGGGGAAUAUUGCACAAUGGGCGCAAGCCUGAUGCAGCGACGCCGCGUGAGGGAUGGAGGCCUUCGGGUUGUGAACCUCUUUCGCCAGUGAAGCAGGCCUGCCUCGUUUGUGGGUGGGUUGACGGUAGCUGGAUAAGAAGCGCCGGCUAACUACGUG